rnacentral:rRNA from 1 species
AAUGAACGCUGGCGGCGCGCCUAAUACAUGCAAGUCGAGCGAGAAGACGUAGCAAUACGUUUGUAAAGCGGCGAACGGGUGAGGAAUACAUGGGUAACCUACCCUCGAGUGGGGAAUAACUAGCCGAAAGGUUAGCUAAUACCGCGUACGCUUCUUGGACUUCGGUUCAGGGAGGAAAGCGAUGCCGAGGGUAUCGCGCUCUUGGAUGGGCUCAUGUCCUAUCAGCUUGUUGGGAGGUAACGGCUCACCAAGGCUUCGACGGGUAGCUGGUCUGAGAGGACGAUCAGCCACACUGGCACUGCGACACGGCCCAGACUCCUACGGGAGGCAGCAGUGGGGAAUUGUUCGCAAUGGGCGCAAGCCUGACGACGCAACGCCGCGUGGAGGAUGAAG